AGAAAAGAGGCGGCAGCGAAGCGGCGACCGGGAAGCUGCGAAAUUCAAAGCGUCUGGGACCCAGCGUGUCUGCAAAGCGCAUUCGCCGGAUCCAUCGGCAAUUUUUCACGCGAUUCGGAUCCGCGAGGGAAGCCAGCAGCCCUGGCCGUGGAGUCGGAGGCGGACCGCGCGAGCCGGUGCUCACAAAGGCGCGUCCUCGCGAGGAAAUUUAUCGCGACGGGACGACGUUUCCCGUGAAAAGCGUCGAAGAAAGAGGACAGAGACGAGAAAGGGGACAGGGAGCGUCGGGGUGCACGGAGGACGCGGCAAUCUCGUGAAUAGACGCGCCUUCCAGAAGCGUCGCGAAUCAAUUCCCGGAUUGACUCUGCACCAGGUUGCCGCGCCGAUUUUUCAGCUUUCUCCAGCCGGAAAACUCGCACGUCUCGUAUCAGCGGCAUAUCUGCACGGUUACUGAAUGGGAAAAUGGACGGACAGGAAUGCAAUAUACGCGGCUGUCUCGCGCGUGCCUUCGUCGCCUAUACCAGGGAAUAUAAACAAAGACGACGACGGUCGGGAAGACGCCAUGCUUCGACGAGUCAGUCGACACCGGAACGCUGAGCUCGACGUACACAACACGAGGUUCAGGUCUGGGACUGAGCUUGAAGAACGAGGAGCCUUGGACCCAAUCGCAGAGGACCCUUCGACACAGAUGACAAUGGCAAGAUCCUUAAAACCUGAAAUCAGCUACUGACCUGCGACUGGCACGCCUCACAUCAUCGUUGCAUUGCUAUGGUUUGUUCCAGAAGUGUUAAGGCAUCAGUGAGAAUCGCUGACCGACUCAUUAAACCUAAUGGCGUGAGCAAUGGUCUUCGUUCCCCCACUACCUACUUAUCCUGAUUACUAUUCGCUUAAAUAGAUGGUAAGGUGGUCAUAAAUCGUGGAUUCUCAACAGGGAAUGUUCGAGCUUGGACAAGUUACGUGUCCUUUCCAUGGAUACGGGUUUUUGGACCCUUGGAUUAUCCUGCGAGAAGGUGUCGAA